UCCCUUCCCUCGGCCCCGGCCCCGGCCCCGCCGCCCGCCAGGUGGCGCCGGGCUGCUGCUGUAGCAGCCGCUGGUGCCCCCGGUCGGCGCCGAGGAGGGGACGGCGGCAGCCUGUUCCGAAAGCCCUUCAGAAAGCGGCGAGGGGAGAAACCCUGACGUGCCGUACCGCCCCGCGCCGCGUCCGGGGCCCGGGAGCGCCAUUUUGUGAGCGGGGGGCCGCGGGAGGCCGCCCCGGGGGAGGCGAGGAUUUCCUUUGGUGUGAUCCAGCGCCUGUUGUGUGUCUGGAGAGGAGAGGAGCACUGUAUCAGACGUCCAACUCCAAUGCUACGUCACGACAGAAAGAGGAUUACACAUAGAGAUUACAGCUCUCAGCGUACCACAUAAAUAUCUAACAGAAGCAUUUCAUAUCAGAAUUAGAACUGCCACUGGAGAAUUCAGCGUUUGGGUAAUUUGAUGACUGUCCAUAAGUCAUGUCAGCUACAACUGGAACACGCAACGGAGAGGAAAUCCAUCAAGUGUCUGAAUGCAUGGAUGUUUGUGUUGCUGAGUUAGCAAGGGCCUAACAAUGGUGCAUGAUGUCACUUCUUAUCUCUAAUGCCUUUGCGGUAAUCCACUGCUGCAGUUGCUGUGGGAUCCGGACAUAUGGUAAAAACUCAUAAAGGCAACAGUCCAUAAGGUCAACAGACAUAUGUCUGAAAGGCCAAAAAGUUAAUAUGCUGAGAAGUCUGUAAACCAGGAAGCUGAAAACAAAAUAAGUAUCAGGUGUGUUUCCAAGAAGGGAAAAAGGCAAUAUUGAAAGACUGGUAAGAAAUUUACUUCAAAAAUGUUUUUGUUACUUUUUUUUUUUUUUAAUGCAGAACAAAGUUUGCAUACAAUUCUUUAGCUGAGUAAAUAUCAUUAAAGCAACAAAACACAACUUCAGUCUACCAAGAAGUGUGAGAGAGCUAGAAAUAAUAUGUAUGUCAGUAGUACAUUAACUCUUUCUCAGACCAGUGUAUACUGUUUCUCACUGACUUCUGGAUACUCCAAAGUGUUUGAUCUUGCAGGAAGCAAGCACAUGGUGAAAACGUCAAUAUUCAGAAGUGUUGAGCCUAUACUGUGUAAAAUACAAAUGUAAACACUAUGUAUUACUUCAGGAAAUUUUUAAUUAUACUAUGCUGUUUCAAACUCAAGAUAUAUUUUUAAAUUAGAGAUAGGUUGUUAAACCCAGAGGUUGUUAAAUAAUGUUGGAAUCUGAUUAAUGCACAUUCUGGCAGUUACAGAACACAUUCACAAUUAGUAGAUAGUGUGGAUAGCUGGCAAGAUUUAUUUGUUUUCUAUUGCUUCUUGGUUUGCUGGCUUCAUUUUGGAAUUAAUCUUGGAAAAUGCUAUAGAUGUCAUAUUACAGAAGUAAGGAGAACUCUAUGCGGCAGCUUUACUUGUCUCUGACUUCACUGAGCCAUGGAGUCCAAGAUGCCAAAUUGUGCUUCUUUUCCCACUGUCAGCAUGUACUUCUGGUCCGAUGCAGCAUCCAACAUCAUUGAAAUCCUCAGGCCUAUUUGUCUUUACAUUCCCUUUAAUUCCCUUUUGUUACCUUUUUGUCUAAGUCCUCCUCUUUCACCUUCUUACCUGCAGAACACUGCAACCAAUCUUAUCACUCAGACUAAGAAUAGAAGCAAAUCACCUUGAAAUGACUCCUCGGUCCUUUAAGAAUACAGCUCAAAACCACCUCUUUCUUUCAGAAAUCUAUAUGGAUUUUCUGCAGUUUACCUCACGGAUAUAACCUUUAACUUGCCUCUCCAGCAUCACUUCUUUUUUCUUUUAUCUUUCUGUCUUCCUUUCUUUUUUUUUCAACCUGCUUCCUUUUUUUUUUUUUUUUUCCCCCUUUGCAGACUGUGCAAGCCAUUAAUGUCAUCGUUUUCUUCUCUACAUUUCCUGCCAUCUGUAUCUUGCUAACUUAACACAUCCCACCUCUUUCAGACUGUAUUGUAUAACAUACCCCUUUCCCCUUGUCAGUGCCUCUGGUUGCUUUCUGCCUUAAUUCUAUCUAUAAUAGAAUAAUUUAUUCACUAAAUUACAUUUUAUAUGUUUUCUGCAGUCUAUACCUUUUGUUGUUACUCUCAGUGUAGAGUGUUUUCUCCUUACAGAUGAUGGAUUGAGAGAGAGGCAAAGUAUGUUAAUCACAAGCAAUCAGGGCAUUGAAACUGAGAAAAAUUUUACCAAAGUGGCUGACAGAUGGCUCUGCGCUGUAGUCUGUUUAUUUCAUAGCUAUCUUGCUCUUCCGUACUGUCCCUAUCUUCCAAAAGUUCACUGGUCUCGUUACUGGGAGCAGAGGUCAGGUAACAGCUGUGGUGCCCAGUGUUGACGCUGUUCCAAAGGUCAUACUUUACAGUCUACAAAUUACUGCUAUCAAUAAGGGAGGAAUUGGUAGGAGUUAGAAAAAGUCAAGAAGGCAGCGGAGUGCUGUCCUAACAUCCAAACAAUUUGUUCCUGAUUUCCCCACGGGUGUUUAGUCUCCUGGUGUUUUCUUGAACAAAUAUUCUGACUAGGACUGUGUCUACCUAGAGAACAUAAAUUUUUCCACAGAAAUUGUUCCAGGGUAAGCUAUUUUCCUGAACAUUUUAAUCAGAAAAACAAAA